GAUGAACGCUGGCGGCGUGCUUAACACAUGCAAGUCGAACGGUGAAGGCGGAGCUUGCUCUGCUGGAUCAGUGGCGAACGGGUGAGUAACACGUGAGCAAUCUGCCCCUGACUCUGGGAUAAGCGCUGGAAACGGCGUCUAAUACUGGAUACGAGCUGCGAAGGCAUCUUCAGCAGCUGGAAAGAAUUUCGGUCAGGGAUGAGCUCGCGGCCUAUCAGCUUGUUGGUGAGGUAAUGGUUCACCAAGGCGUCGACGGGUAGCCGGCCUGGGAGGGUGACCGGCCACAAUGGGCCUGAGAGAGGGCCCAGACUCCAACGGGAGGCAGCGGUGGGGAAUAUUGCACAGUGGGCGAAAGCCUGAUGCAGCAGCGCCGCGUGAGGGACGACGGCCUGCGGGUUGUAAACCUCUUUUAGCAGGGAAGAAGCGAAAGUGACGGUACCUGCAGAAAAAGCGCCGGCUAACUACGUG
rnacentral:rRNA from 1 species